rnacentral:rRNA from 1 species
UACGUAGGGUGCAAGCGUUAUUCGGAAUUACUGGGCGUAAAGCGUGCGCAGGCGGUUGUGCAAGACAGAUGUGAAAUCCCCGGGCUUAACCUGGGAACUGCAUUUGUGACUGCACGGCUAGAGUGUGGCAGAGGGGGGUAGAAUUCCACGUGUAGCAGUGAAAUGCGUAGAGAUGUGGAGGAAUACCGAUGGCGAAGGCAGCCCCCUGGGAUAACACUGACGCUCAUGCACGAAAGCGUGGGGAGCAAACAGG